UACGGGGGGGGGUAAGCGUUGUUCGGAAUUACUGGGCGUAAAGGGCUCGUAGGCGGCCAACUAAGUCAGACGUGAAAUCCCUCAGCUUAACUGGGGAACUGCGUCUGAUACUGGAUGGCUUGGAUUCGGGAGAGGAAUGCGGAAUUCCAGGUGUAGCGGUGAAAUGCGUAGAUAUCUGGAGGAAUACCGGUGGCGAAGGCGGCAUCCUGGACCGGCAUUGACGCUGAAGCGCGAAAGCCAGGGGAGCAAACGGG
rnacentral:rRNA from 1 species